UGGGGAAUAUUGCGCAAUGGGCGAAAGCCUGACGCAGCGACGCCGCGUGGGGGAUGACGGCCUUCGGGUUGUAAACCUCUUUCAGCAGGGACGAAUCUGACGGUACCUGCAGAAGAAGCACCGGCCAACUACGUGCCAGCAGCCGCGGUAAUACGUAGGGUGCAAGCGUUGUCCGGAAUUAUUGGGCGUAAAGAGCUCGUAGGCGGUCUGUCGCGUCGGCUGUGAAAACUCGGGGCUCAACCCCGAGCCUGCAGUCGAUACGGGCAGACUAGAGUGCGGUAGGGGAGACUGGGAAUUCCUGGUGUAGCGGUGAAAUGCGCAGAUAUCAGGAGGAACACCGGUGGCGAAGGCGGGUCUCUGGGCCGUAACUGACGCUGAGGAGCGAAAGCGUGGGGAGCGAACAGGAUUAGAUACCCUGGUAGUCCACGCCGUAAACGGUGGGUGCUAGGUGUAGGCGGUAUUCCACGCCGUCUGUGCCGCAGCUAACGCA
rnacentral:rRNA from 1 species